GAAGGCGCUUCCCUUUGGAGU
rnacentral:miRNA from 5 species